rnacentral:rRNA from 1 species
GGGUUGUGAGGUUAAGCGACUAAGCGUACACGGUGGAUGCCCUGGCAGUCAGAGGCGAUGAAGGGCGUGCUAAUCUGCGAUAAGCGCCGGUAAGGUGAUAUGAACCGUUAUAACCGGCGAUACCCGAAUGGGGAAACCCAGUGUGAUUCGUCACACUAUCAUUAACUGAAUCCAUAGGUUAAUGAGGCGAACCGGGGGAACUGAAACAUCUAAGUACCCCGAGGAAAAGAAAUCAACCGAGAUUCCCCCAGUAGCGGCGAGCGAACGGGGAGGAGCCCAGAGCCUGAAUCAGCAUGUGUGUUAGUGGAAGCGUCUGGAAAGGCGCGCGAUACAGGGUGACAGCCCCGUACACAAAAGCGCAUGUGCUGUGAGCUCGAUGAGUAGGGCGGGACACGUGGUAUCCUGUCUGAAUAUGGGGGGACCAUCCUCCAAGGCUAAAUACUCCUGACUGACCGAUAGUGAACCAGUACCGUGAGGGAAAGGCGAAAAGAACCCCGGCGAGGGGAGUGAAAAAGAACCUGAAACCGUGUACGUACAAGCAGUGGGAGCCCCACCACUAAGCCAGUGGUGAACUCCACAUACGCAUCCUUUGCUGAGGAUACGGUUAACGGAGCGAAAGCGACGUUCAACCUCAAAAGAAGCAGAGGGGGCUUAGUGGUGGGGUGACUGCGUACCUUUUGUAUAAUGGGUCAGCGACUUAUAUUCUGUAGCAAGGUUAACCGAAUAGGGGAGCCGGAGGGAAACCGAGUCUUAAUUGGGCGUUAAGUUGCAGGGUAUAGACCCGAAACCCGGUGAUCUAGCCAUGGGCAGGUUGAAGGUUGGGUAACACUAACUGGAGGACCGAACCGACUAAUGUUGAAAAAUUAGCGGAUGACCUGUGGCUGGGGGUGAAAGGCCAAUCAAACCGGGAGAUAGCUGGUUCUCCCCGAAAGCUAUUUAGGUAGCGCCUCGUGAAUUCAUCUCCGGGGGUAGAGCACUGUUUCGGCUAGGGGGCCAUCCCGGCUUACCAACCCGAUGCAAACUGCGAAUACCGGAGAAUGUUAUCACGGGAGACACACGGCGGGUGCUAACGUCCGUCGUGAAGAGGGAAACAACCCAGACCGCCAGCUAAGGUCCCAAAGUCAUGGUUAAGUGGGAAACGAUGUGGGAAGGCCCAGACAGCCAGGAUGUUGGCUUAGAAGCAGCCAUCAUUUAAAGAAAGCGUAAUAGCUCACUGGUCGAGUCGGCCUGCGCGGAAGAUGUAACGGGGCUAAACCAUGCACCGAAGCUGCGGCAGCGACACUCAGGUGUUGUUGGGUAGGGGAGCGUUCUGUAAGCCUGUGAAGGUGGCCUGUGAGGGUUGCUGGAGGUAUCAGAAGUGCGAAUGCUGACAUAAGUAACGAUAAAGCGGGUGAAAAGCCCGCUCGCCGGAAGACCAAGGGUUCCUGUCCAACGUUAAUCGGGGCAGGGUGAGUCGACCCCUAAGGCGAGGCCGAAAGGCGUAGUCGAUGGGAAACGGGUUAAUAUUCCCGUACUUGGUGUUACUGCGAAGGGGGGACGGAGAAGGCUAUGUUGGCCGGGCGACGGUUGUCCCGGUUUAAGCGUGUAGGUGUGUGUUCCAGGUAAAUCCGGUUCACUUUAACACUGAGGCGUGAUGACGAGGCACUACGGUGCUGAAGCAACAAAUGCCCUGCUUCCAGGAAAAGCCUCUAAGCAUCAGGUAACAUCAAAUCGUACCCCAAACCGACACAGGUGGUCAGGUAGAGAAUACCAAGGCGCUUGAGAGAACUCGGGUGAAGGAACUAGGCAAAAUGGUGCCGUAACUUCGGGAGAAGGCACGCUGACACGUAGGUGAAGUGAUUUACUCAUGGAGCUGAAGUCAGUCGAAGAUACCAGCUGGCUGCAACUGUUUAUUAAAAACACAGCACUGUGCAAACACGAAAGUGGACGUAUACGGUGUGACGCCUGCCCGGUGCCGGAAGGUUAAUUGAUGGGGUCAGCGCAAGCGAAGCUCCUGAUCGAAGCCCCGGUAAACGGCGGCCGUAACUAUAACGGUCCUAAGGUAGCGAAAUUCCUUGUCGGGUAAGUUCCGACCUGCACGAAUGGCGUAAUGAUGGCCAGGCUGUCUCCACCCGAGACUCAGUGAAAUUGAACUCGCUGUGAAGAUGCAGUGUACCCGCGGCAAGACGGAAAGACCCCGUGAACCUUUACUAUAGCUUGACACUGAACAUUGAGCCUUGAUGUGUAGGAUAGGUGGGAGGCUUUGAAGUGUGGACGCCAGUCUGCAUGGAGCCGACCUUGAAAUACCACCCUUUAAUGUUUGAUGUUCUAACGUGGACCCGUAAUCCGGGUUGCGGACAGUGUCUGGUGGGUAGUUUGACUGGGGCGGUCUCCUCCUAAAGAGUAACGGAGGAGCACGAAGGUUGGCUAAUCCUGGUCGGACAUCAGGAGGUUAGUGCAAUGGCAUAAGCCAGCUUGACUGCGAGCGUGACGGCGCGAGCAGGUGCGAAAGCAGGUCAUAGUGAUCCGGUGGUUCUGAAUGGAAGGGCCAUCGCUCAACGGAUAAAAGGUACUCCGGGGAUAACAGGCUGAUACCGCCCAAGAGUUCAUAUCGACGGCGGUGUUUGGCACCUCGAUGUCGGCUCAUCACAUCCUGGGGCUGAAGUAGGUCCCAAGGGUAUGGCUGUUCGCCAUUUAAAGUGGUACGCGAGCUGGGUUUAGAACGUCGUGAGACAGUUCGGUCCCUAUCUGCCGUGGGCGCUGGAGAACUGAGGGGGGCUGCUCCUAGUACGAGAGGACCGGAGUGGACGCAUCACUGGUGUUCGGGUUGUCAUGCCAAUGGCACUGCCCGGUAGCUAAAUGCGGAAGAGAUAAGUGCUGAAAGCAUCUAAGCACGAAACUUGCCCCGA